rnacentral:rRNA from 1 species
UACACUGAAUUCUGGAAGCUUCUGGUUUGAAGAGAAGAUUUAUUCAAGAAUUUUGUGUAAAAUGUCGGCGAGCGGCGGACGGCUGAGUAACGCGUGGGAACGUACCCCAAAGUGAGGGAUAACGCAUCGAAAGGUGUGCUAAUACCGCAUAUGGUCUUCGGAUUAAAGCCUUCGGGCGCUUUGGGAACGGCCUGCGUAAGAUUAGAUAGUUGGUGGGGUAAUGGCCUACCAAGUCGACGAUCUUUAACUGGUUUGAGAGGAUGAUCAGUCAGACUGGAACUGAGACACGGUCCAGACUCCUACGGGAGGCAGCAGUGGGGAAUCUUCCACAAUGGGCGAAAGCCUGAUGGAGCAACGCCGCGUGCAGGAUGAAGGCCUUCGGGUUGUAAACUGCUUUUAUAAGUGAGGAUUAUGACAGUAACUUAUGAAUAAGGAUCGGCUAACUACGUGCCAGCAGCCGCGGUCAUACGUAGGAUCCGAGCGUUAUCCGGAGUGACUGGGCGUAAAGAGUUGCGUAGGUGGUUCGAUAAGCGAAUAGUGAAAUCUGGUGGCUCAACCAUUCAGACUAUUAUUCGAACUGUUGAACUCGAGAGCAGAAGAGGUAGCUGGAAUUUCUAGUGCAGGAGUGAAAUCCGUAGAUAUUAGAAGGAACACCGAUGGCGUAGGCAGGCUACU